ACCCGUCUAGCUCAGUCGGUAGAGCGCUGGCCUUUUAAGCCAGUGGUUGUGGGUUCGAUCCCCACGGGGGGUG
rnacentral:tRNA from 1 species